rnacentral:rRNA from 1 species
GUCGCACGGAUUGUGUGAAAAAAAUCUAAGUCCAUAACAUAAGUAUGAACGAAUUCAGACUGUGAAACUACGAAUGGCUCAUUAAAUCAAUUAUAGUUUGUUUGUUAGUAUUUGCUACUCAGAUAACCGUAGUAAUUCUAGAGCUAAUAUGUGCAACAAACCCCGACUUUUGGAAGGGAUGCAUUUAUUAGAUAAAAGGUCGACGCGGGCUUUGCCUGUUGCUCUGAUGAUUCAUGAUAACUCGACAGAUCGUACGGCUUUGUGCUGGUGACGCAUCAUUCAAAUUUUUGUGCUAUCAACCUUUGAUGGUAGGAUAGUGGCCUAUUAUGGUGGUGACGGGUGAUAGAGAAUUAGGGUUCGAUUUUAGAGAGGGAGCCUGAGAAAUGGGUACCACAUCCAAGGAAGGCAGCAGACGCACAAAUUACCUAAUCCUGACAUGGGGAGGUAGUGACAAUAAAUAACAAUACUGGGCUCUAUGAGUCUAGUAAUUGAAAUGAGUACAAUCUAAAUCCCUUAACAAGGAUCCAUUAGAGGGCAAGUCUGGUGCCAGCAGCCACGGUAAUUCCAGCUCCAAUAGCGUAUAUUUAAGUUGUUACAGUUAAAAAACUCGUAGUUGGACUUAGGGGUGGGUCAGUCGGUCCGCCUCACGGUGAGCACCGGUCUGCUCAUCCCUACUGCCAUGCGCUGCUGGCCAUAAUUAGUCGGGUCGUUCCUCCAGUGCUAUUACUUUGAAGAAAUUAGAGUGCUCAAAGCAGGCCUAUGCUUGUAUACAUUAGCAUGGGAUAACAUCAUAGGAUUUUGAUCCUAUUGUGUUUGCCUUCAAGAUCUGAGUAAUAAUUAACGAGACAGUCGAGGGCAUUCAUAUUUCAUAGUCAGAGGUGAUAUUCUUGGAUUUAUGAAAGACGAACAACUGCGAAAGCAUUUGCUAAAGAUGUUUUCAUUAAUCAAGAACGAAAGUUAUGGGCUUGAAGACGAUCAGAUACCGUCCUAGUCUCAACCAUAAAAGAUGCCGACCAGGGAUCAACGAAUGUUACUUUUAGGACUCCGUCGGUAACUUAUGAGAAAUCAAAGUCUUUGGGUUUCGGGGGGAGUAUGGUCGCAAGGCUGAAACUUAAAGGAAUUGACGGAAGGGCACCACCAGGAGUGAAGCCUACGGCUUAAUUUGACUCAACACGGGGAAACUUACCAGGUCUAGACAUAGUAAGGAUUGACAGACUGAGAGCUCUUUCUUGAUUCUGUGGGUGGCAGUGCAUGGCCGUUCUUAAUUGGGAGAGUGAUUUGUCUAGUUAAUUUCGUUAAUGAACAAGACCUUAGCCUGCUAACUAGCUACAUAGAGGUGAUCCUCCGUGGCUAGCUUCUUAGAAAGACUAUGGCCUUUUAGGCCAAGGAAGUUUGAGGCAAUAACAGGUUUGUGAUGCCCUUAGAUGUUUUGGGCCGCAUGCGCGCUACACUAAUGUAUUCAAUGAGUCUAUAGGCUUGGCCGACAGGCCCGGGUAAUCUUUGAAAUUUCAUCAUGAUGGGGAUAGAUCAUUGCAGUUGUUGGUCUUCAACGAGGAAUUCUUAGUAAGCGUGAGUCAUCAACUCGCGUUGACUAUGUCCCUGCCCUUUGUACACUCCAUCCGUCGCUCCUACCGAUUGAAUGGUCCGGUGAAGUGUUCGGAUCGCGGCGACAUGGGUGGUUCACUGCCCAUGACGUAUCGAGAAGUCUUCUAAACCUUAUCAUUUAGAGGAAGGAGAAGUCGUAACAAGGUUUCCAUGGGUGAACCUGCGGAAG